rnacentral:rRNA from 1 species
AGCGAACGCUGGCGGCAGGCUUAACACAUGCGAGUCGAGCGGGCAUCCUUGUGGUGUCCGCGGCAGACGGGUGAGUAACGCGUGGGAACGUGCCCUUCGGUUCGGAAUAACUCAGGGAAACUUUAGCUAAUACCGGAUACGUGCGAGAGCAGAAAGGUUUAUCUGCCGAAGGAUCGGCCCGCGUCUGAUUAGCUAGUUGGUGAGGUUACGGCUCACCAAGGAGACGAUCAGUAGCUGGUCUGAGAGGAUGAUCAGCCACACUGGGACUGAGACACGGCCCAGACUCCUACGGGAGGCAGCAGUGGGGAAUAUUGGACAAUGGGGGCAACCCUGAUCCAGCCAUGCCGCGUGAGUGAUGACGGCCUUAGGGUUGUAAAGCUCUUUUCUCCGGGACGAUAAUGACGGUACCGGAGGAAUAAGCCCCGGCUAACUUCGUG